AUUCUGAUUGGCUGACUGCACAACACGUGUUAUUCCGUAAGCAAUUACAUUGCUCAAUAAAACUUUUCAUUCAUGAUAACACGUGGUCCCACAAUAAAGUGCACAGGUGGAUUAAAUAAAACAAUAAUAUAAUUCGUGUUUUCGUGAUCAUUGCUAAAAAAAUGUAAUUAUAAGUAUUGAAUGUUUCUUUUUGUAACUUCACAGGGUUGUAAAAGCGUUGACCGUGCGC
rnacentral:lncRNA from 1 species